rnacentral:rRNA from 1 species
ACACUCCUGCGGGAGGCAGCAGUGGGGAAUUUUGGACAAUGGGCGAAAGCCUGAUCCAGCCAUGCCGCGUGCAGGAUGAAGGCCUUCGGGUUGUAAACUGCUUUUGUACGGAACGAAACGGCCUUUUCUAAUAAAGAGGGCUAAUGACGGUACCGUAAGAAUAAGCACCGGCUAACUACGUGCCAGCAGCCGCGGUAAUACGUAGGGUGCAAGCGUUAAUCGGAAUUACUGGGCGUAAAGCGUGCGCAGGCGGUUAUGUAAGACAGUUGUGAAAUCCCCGGGCUCAACCUGGGAACUGCAUCUGUGACUGCAUAGCUAGAGUACGGUAGAGGGGGAUGGAAUUCCGCGUGUAGCAGUGAAAUGCGUAGAUAUGCGGAGGAACACCGAUGGCGAAGGCAAUCCCCUGGACCUGUACUGACGCUCAUGCACGAAAGCGUGGGGAGCAAACAGGAUUAGAUACCCCGGUAGUCCCAU